AGCGAACGCUGGCGGCAGGCCUAACACAUGCAAGUCGAACGGACCCUUCGGGGUUAGUGGCGGACGGGUGAGUAACACGUGGGAACGUGCCUUUAGGUUCGGAAUAGCUCCUGGAAACGGGUGGUAAUGCCGAAUGUGCCCUUCGGGGGAAAGAUUUAUCGCCUUUAGAGCGGCCCGCGUCUGAUUAGCUAGUUGGUGAGGUAACGGCUCACCAAGGCGACGAUCAGUAGCUGGUCUGAGAGGAUAACCAGCCACACUGGGACUGAGACACGGCCCAGACUCCUACGGGAAGCAGCAGUGGGGAAUCUUGCGCAAUGGGCGAAAGCCUGACGCAGCCAUGCCGCGUGAAUGAUGAAGGUCUUAGGAUUGUAAAAUUCUUUCACCGGGGACGAUAAUGACGGUACCCGGAGAAGAAGCCCCGGCUAACUUCGUG
rnacentral:rRNA from 1 species